rnacentral:rRNA from 1 species
GACGAACGCUGGCGGCAUGCCUAAUACAUGCAAGUCGAGCGAACAGAUGAAGUGCUUGCACUUCUGACGUUAGCGGCGAACGGGUGAGUAACACGUAAGGAAUCUACCUAUAAGCGGGGGAUAACAUUCGGAAACGGGUGCUAAUACCGCAUAAUAUCUUCUUCCGCAUGGAAGAAGAUUGAAAGACGGCUCUGCUGUCACUUAUAGAUGACCUUGCGGUGCAUUAGUUAGUUGGUGGGGUAACGGCCGACCAAGACGAUGAUGCAGAGCCGACCUGAGAGGGGGAUCGGCCACAUUGGGACUGAGACACGGCCCAAACUCCUACGGGAGGCAGCAGUAGGGAAUCUUCCGCAAUGGGCGAAGGCCUGACGGAGCAAUGCCGCGUGAGUGAAGAAGGCCUUCGGGUCGUAAAACUCUGUUAUAAGAGAAGAACAAAUUGUAGAGUAACUGCUACAGUCUUGACGGUAUCUUAUCAGAAAGCCACGGCUAACUACGUGCCAGCAGCCGCCGCUG